UUGAACGCUGGCGGCAGGCCUAACACAUGCAAGUCGAGCGGUAGCACAGAGAGCUUGCUCUCGGGUGACGAGCGGCGGACGGGUGAGUAAUGUCUGGGAAACUGCCUGAUGGAGGGGGAUAACUACUGGAAACGGUAGCUAAUACCGCAUAACGUCGCAAGACCAAAGUGGGGGACCUUCGGGCCUCAUGCCAUCAGAUGUGCCCAGAUGGGAUUAGCUAGUAGGUGGGGUAACGGCUCACCUAGGCGACGAUCCCUAGCUGGUCUGAGAGGAUGACCAGCCACACUGGAACUGAGACACGGUCCAGACUCCUACGGGAGGCAGCAGUGGGGAAUAUUGCACAAUGGGCGCAAGCCUGAUGCAGCCAUGCCGCGUGUGUGAAGAAGGCCUUCGGGUUGUAAAGCACUUUCAGCGGGGAGGAAGGCGGUGAGGUUAAUAACCUCAUCGAUUGACGUUACCCGCAGAAGAAGCACCGGCUAACUCCGUGCCAGCAGCCGCGGUAAUACGGAGGGUGCAAGCGUUAAUCGGAAUUACUGGGCGUAAAGCGCACGCAGGCGGUCUGUCAAGUCGGAUGUGAAAUCCCCGGGCUCAACCUGGGAACUGCAUUCGAAACUGGCAGGCUAGAGUCUUGUAGAGGGGGGUAGAAUUCCAGGUGUAGCGGUGAAAUGCGUAGAGAUCUGGAGGAAUACCGGUGGCGAAGGCGGCCCCCUGGACAAAGACUGACGCUCAGGUGCGAAAGCGUGGGGAGCAAACAGGAUUAGAUACCCUGGUAGUCCACGCCGUAAACGAUGUCGAUUUGGAGGUUGUGCCCUUGAGGCGUGGCUUCCGGAGCUAACGCGUUAAAUCGACCGCCUGGGGAGUACGGCCGCAAGGUUAAAACUCAAAUGAAUUGACGGGGGCCCGCACAAGCGGUGGAGCAUGUGGUUUAAUUCGAUGCAACGCGAAGAACCUUACCUGGUCUUGACAUCCACAGAACUUUCCAGAGAUGGAUUGGUGCCUUCGGGAACUGUGAGACAGGUGCUGCAUGGCUGUCGUCAGCUCGUGUUGUGAAAUGUUGGGUUAUGUCCCGCAACGAGCGCAACCCUUAUCCUUUGUUGCCAGCGGUUAGGCCGGGAACUCAAAGGAGACUGCCAGUGAUAAACUGGAGGAAGGUGGGGAUGACGUCAAGUCAUCAUGGCCCUUACGACCAGGGCUACACACGUGCUACAAUGGCAUAUACAAAGAGAAGCGACCUCGCGAGAGCAAGCGGACCUCAUAAAGUAUGUCGUAGUCCGGAUUGGAGUCUGCAACUCGACUCCAUGAAGUCGGAAUCGCUAGUAAUCGUAGAUCAGAAUGCUACGGUGAAUACGUUCCCGGGCCUUGUACACACCGCCCGUCACACCAUGGGAGUGGGUUGCAAAAGAAGUAGGUAGCUUAACCUUCGGGAGGGCGCUUACCACUUUGUGAUUCAUGACUGGGGUG
rnacentral:rRNA from 1 species